GCCACUAUGAUCGCCCUCGAAUUGCUCAACUUUGUGAAAAAGCCGGUCUAUACAUCCGAGCCCUGCAACAUUAUUCAGAGUUGCCAGAUAUUAAACGUGUCAUUGUUAAUACCCAUGCAAUAGAGCCUCAGGCACUUGUGGAGUUUUUUGGUACCCUAUCACGAGAAUGGGCUUUGGAGUGCAUGAAGGAUCUGUUGCUGGUGAAUCUAAGAGGCAACCUUCAGAUA
rnacentral:misc_RNA from 1 species